rnacentral:rRNA from 1 species
UACGUAGGUGGCAAGCGUUGUCCGGAUUUAUUGGGUUUAAAGGGUGCGUAGGCGGUCUAUUAAGUCAGUUGUGAAAUACGGCAGCUCAACUGUCGAGGUGCAAUUGAUACUGAUGGACUUGAGUACUGAUGAGGUAAGCGGAAUUCCCGGUGUAGUGGUGGAAUGCGUAGAUAUCGGGAGGAACACCAGUGGCGAAGGCGGCUUCCUGGACCUGUUCUGACACUGAGGAGCGAAAGCGUGGGGAGCGAUCCGG